GAGGGUAUAGCUCAAGUGGUAGAGCGCAUGCUUAGCAUGCUCGAGGUCCCGGGUUCAAUCCCCGGCACCUCCU
rnacentral:tRNA from 1 species